GCUCAGAUUAGUAUUGAUAUAAGAAGUCCAGACACCGUGUCUUUCAAAAACAGAUAAAAAAUAUCAGCAUGUAUGCACCAUUUGCCUUUAAUCACAAAGGCAUACUGAACAUGCUUGAAAUGCCAAUAGUUUUAUAGAUUGCUGUGCCGUUUACUACUCCUCUAUUCUUCACUUUUUUUUUUCCCUUAAGAGAUGAAACCCAGUGCAGCAGCAUGACAGAAGAUACAUUGAACCAGUCAGCAGACCCAUGAAGAGAGAAACCGGACCUUUCUGUGGAAAUUUUACCAGAUGAGUGAUUUUAAACCUGACAUCAACAAUUACAAUGCCCACAGAACCAACUGCAUGUGAAAGGACUACAGUGAAAAUUCAGAGGUGUCCUGUUGUCCUUCAGGUACUUAAUGAUUUUGAUUCACAUUUAUCAAACAAACCCAUCAUCAUUAAGUCCUCUGGACAGACGAAGAACAAAAUGGCUGAUUGGCUUUAUGGAGAGUACAAAAGAAAAGGCAGUUUAAACAUGACAGCUGGUUCUUCGUUUGUGGACAUCUGCAGAAAGCUAACAGAAGUCAAUUUCCUGUGGAGAGCAACUUUUUGUCUGAGUGCAGUUAAGUUUGAUGUUAAUGGAAAACCCAUUUAAAACAAUGAUUACCCUAUGAAGAAAAAGUGAGUGCACUCAAGUGGAAACGGAAGACUUAUCGAUCAGUUUUCAGGUAAGGCUUACUUGCUUGACACUUCACAACAAAGAAAUGCAUUUUUAUUAGUUGGCCAGAUAGUUCAGAUUGCUUUCAUUCUUAAUAAAGACCUUCUUUAUAACAUUUAUAAAACUUUAUUACAGUUAUAAUAAUAAAAUCGGAUUUCAGAAUUCACACGAGAUCUUGAGG
rnacentral:lncRNA from 1 species